UUUUUUCCCCAUUCCCCUGCCCUUGAACACACCCAACCUCAUCUGAUCUCGGAAGCUAAGCUGGAUCUGGUCUGGUUAGUACUUGGAUGGAUCAACAUUUCAAAGUAGAAUGUCGAACAGAAAC
rnacentral:rRNA from 1 species